rnacentral:rRNA from 1 species
GCUGGCGGCAGGCCUAACACAUGCAAGUCGAACGGAGUUAUAUUGUAGCUUGCUAUGGUAUAACNNANNGGCAAACGGGUGAGUAAUGUAUAGGAAUCUACCUAGUAGUACGGAAUAAUUGUUGGAAACGGCAACUAAUACCGUAUACGCCCUACGGGGGAAAAAUUUAUUGCUAUUAGAUGAGCCUAUAUUAGAUUAGCUAGUUGGUGGAGUAAUAGCCUACCAAGGCAAUGAUCUAUAGCUGAUCUGAGAGGAUGAUCAGCCACACUGGAACUGAGAUACGGUCCAGACUCCUACGGGAGGCAGCAGUGGGGAAUAUUGGACAAUGGGCGAAAGCCUGAUCCAGCCAUGCCGCAUGAGUGAAGAAGGCCUUUGGGUUGUAAAGCUCUUUUAGUGAGGAAGAUAAUGACGGUACUCACAGAAGAAGUCCUGGCUAACUCCGUGCCAGCAGCCGCGGUAAUACGGAGAGGGCUAGCGUUAUUCGGAAUUAUUGGGCGUAAAGGGCGCGUAUGCGGAUUAGUAAUUUAAAAGUGAAAUCCCAAGGCUCAACCUUGGAAUUGCUUU